AUCUUAUUAGUUUAAUUGAAAAUAUAACUCUGAAGAAGUUAAGAUUUUAAAGAUAA
rnacentral:tRNA from 1 species